UACUUGGGCUGGCUCAAAGCCCCGACUCGGGAGUGUCGGGAAGAAAGGGAGGGCAGGGCACACGACAUCGAUCACCUCGAGAAAUCGACCGUGGGAUAGGUCAUAGGGAGCGCGCGGAGCUCCGCCAGAUAGUCGCCUCUCCCUAUGCAUCGGCCAGAUGGAUUUUAGGCUCUCGCGAACCUCCAUUCGCAUUGCACGUCGCUCGCCAGCGGGGAUCAGAAUCUUCUGCGCAAGGGCCCUCCUCAACAUAGAAAGCAGCGCGAUAACCGUAUGCUUCAUUUUCAUGGCCAGCAGAGAUGAUCCGUUUCUUAGGAAACAUGACCUCUCUCGAGGACGUGAGUGUACAAUUUUGGACAUCUGAAAUUGCUGGUGUCAAGGUUCCAUCGCCUAUCACCAUGGAUGUGCCGAGGAUGGUGAGAGUGAAGAGCGCAAUCUUGGCUGCCUUGCUGGACUCAAGCUUCUGCUUCAGCCACUGCGCCCUCCUCAGCUGCGAGUUUGGCGCUUCGAUGUGGUAAUUGGACACCGCCGCAUCCUCAGCCUGCUGGUCCGGGAUCAGUCUUACCUUUGCAUACCUUGAUAUCAGCGAGUAAAGUGCAAACGUGCCACCUACAACAGCAGUUUGUUUGUUGUUAUUUCAUAUACCAACUGCAUAACAGUAAUACAGCAGGUGAUUUCAUCUUAUCCUGCCCAAAUUUCAGAGAAUGGGCUUACCAUCUCCAUUGUCGUUUGCAUACAACACGAUGAAGACAUACUUGAGCAUCGGUA